rnacentral:tRNA from 1 species
UUUAUUUCUUUUUAAUUAAAAUUUUAAUUGGUUUUCUUCCCGAUUCUUUUUUUUUGGUUUAUUUUUUUUUUUGGACC